ACCCGCACAAGCGGUGGAUGAUGUGGUUUAAUUCGAUGCAACGACGAAAAACCUUACCUACCCUUGACAUGUCUGGAAUCCUGAAGAGAUUUGGGAGUGCUCGAAAGAGAACCAGAACACAGGUGCUGCAUGGCCGUCGUCAGCUCGUGUCGUGAGAUGUUGGGUUAAGUCCCGCAACGAGCGCAACCCUUGUCAUUAGUUGCUACGAAAGGGCACUCUAAUGAGACUGCCGGUGACAAACCGGAGGAAGGUGGGGAUGACGUCAGGUCCUCAUGGCCCUUAUGGGUAGGGCUACACACGUCAUACAAUGGCCGGUACAGAGGGCUGCCAACCCGCGAGGGGGAGCCAAUCCCAGAAAACCGGUCGUAGUCCGGAUCGCAGUCUGCAACUCGACUGCGUGAAGUCGGAAUCGCUAGUAAUCGCGGAU
rnacentral:rRNA from 1 species